GCAGUCGUGGCCGAGCGGUUGGGCGAUAGACUAGAAAUCCAUUGGGGUCUCCCCGCACAGGUUCGAAUCCUGUCGACUGCG
rnacentral:tRNA from 1 species